rnacentral:misc_RNA from 1 species
AAGUUGUAACAAGGUUUCCGUAGGUGAACCUGCGGAAGGAUCAUUAACAAAUCCUGUGCUGCGGUGCCGCAAGGCGCCGUAGUAUAUUAACUCGGCCUGUGUCGCAAGAUGCAGGCUGAAUAUAUAUGUGUGUAAUGUUGACAAUGUGUGUGUGAUUAAAUAGUAGACAACUUUUAACAAUGGAUCUCUAGGCUCUU